AAGGAUCAUUACUGAAUAAAACUCGGUGGGCUUGAUGCUGGCU
rnacentral:rRNA from 1 species